ensembl:snoRNA
AGCCGCUGAUGAUCCUCUUUGAAUUUCUGACACCUCAUCAAAGUGCUGUUCAUGCAGCUGCUGAUGCUUUUGAUCUGAGGCUC